rnacentral:rRNA from 1 species
AUUGAACGCUGGCGGCAUGCCUUACACAUGCAAGUCGAACGGCAGCACGGGAGCAAUCCUGGUGGCGAGUGGCGAACGGGUGAGUAAUAUAUCGGAACGUGCCCAGUCGUGGGGGAUAACGUAGCGAAAGCUACGCUAAUACCGCAUACGAUCUAUGGAUGAAAGCGGGGGAUCGCAAGACCUCGCACGAUUGCAGCGGCCGAUAUCAGAUUAGGUAGUUGGUGAGGUAAAGGCUCACCAAGCCGACGAUCUGUAGCUGGUCUGAGAGGACGACCAGCCACACUGGGACUGAGACACGGCCCAGACUCCUACGGGAGGCAGCAGUGGGGAAUUUUGGACAAUGGGCGCAAGCCUGAUCCAGCAAUGCCGCGUGCAGGAUGAAGGCCUUCGGGUUGCAAACUGCUUUUGUACGGAGCGAAACGGCUUCCACUAAUACUGGGGGCUAAUGACGGUACCGUAAGAAUAAGCACCGGCUAACUACGUGCCAGCCGCCGCGGUAAUAC